GAUAAACGCUGGCGGCGUGCAUGAGACAUGCAAGUCGAACGAGUUCCCCGGGCUUGCUCGGGGAGCUAGUGGCGAACGGCUGAGUAACGCGUAGGUGACCUGCCCGGAAGUGGGGAAUAACUGCCCGAAAGGGUGGCUAAUACCGCAUGCGGCCAUGCGUUCAUUCGCAUGACCAAAGCCGCAAGGCGCUUCCGGAGGGGCCUGCGUUCGAUUAGCUCGUUGGUGGGGUAACGGCUCACCAAGGCGACGAUCGAUAGGUGGUCUGAGAGGAUGAUCACCCAGACUGGGACUGAGACACGGCCCAGACUCCUACGGGUGGCUG
rnacentral:rRNA from 1 species